GUGACCCCAGGUCAGGCGGGGCUACCCGCUGAGUUUAAGCAUAUCAAUAAGCGGAGGAAAAGAAACUAACAAGGAUUCCCCUAGUAACGGCGAGCGAACCGGGAAGAGCCCAAGCUUAGAAUCGAGCGAUUUUGUCGCUUGAAUUGUAGUCUGAGGGAAGCGUCAA
rnacentral:rRNA from 1 species